GACGAACGCUGGCGGCGUGCUUAACACAUGCAAGUCGAACGGAAGGGCCCUGCUUUUGUGGGGUGCUCGAGUGGCGAACGGGUGAGUAACACGUGAGUAACCUGCCCUUGACUUUGGGAUAACUUCAGGAAACUGGGGCUAAUAUCGGAUAGGAGCUCCUGCUGCAUGGUGGGGGUUGGAAAGUUUCGGCGGUUGGGGAUGGACUCGCGGCUUAUCAGCUUGUUGGUGGGGUAGUGGCUUACCAAGGCUUUGACGGGUAGCCGGCCUGAGAGGGUGACCGGCCACAUUGCGACUGAGAUACGGCCCAGACUCCUACGGGAGGCAGCAGUGGGGAAUAUUGCACAAUGGGCGGAAGCCUGAUGCAGCAACGCCGCGUGCGGGAUGACGGCCUUCGGGUUGUAAACCGCUUUCGCCUGUGACGAAGCGUGAGUGACGGUAAUGAGUAAAGAAGCACCGGCUAACUACGUG
rnacentral:rRNA from 1 species